ACAAACUUGGUCAUUUAGAGGAAGUAAAAGUCGUAACAAGGUUUCCGUAGGUGAACCUGCGGAAGGAUCAUUACUGAAUGAAAAUGUGGGUUGCUGCUGGCUUUUAAGAGGCAUUGUGCACGCCCACUCCACUCGUUCUAAAUCCUCCUGUGCACUCUGUGUAGACCCUUGAAUGAACAGCUGAAGAAAUAUCUCUUUGGCCAAUAGGGUGACUGCUGUGUUUGAAAGAAGACAGCUGUUUAGCCAGUGUUUUAAUGUUCUCAUGGGUUCUAUGCUUUUAAUAAUAACGCUCCAUAAGCAUGUGUCUGAAUGUGAUUUAUAGAUAUUUCAAUAUCUUUAAAUAAAAUAAUACAACUUUCAACAACGGAUCUCUUGGCUCUCGCAUCGAUGAAGAACGCAGC
rnacentral:misc_RNA from 1 species